rnacentral:rRNA from 1 species
AGCGAACGCUGGCGGCAGGCCUAACACAUGCAAGUCGAACGAACUCUUCGGAGUUAGUGGCGGACGGGUGAGUAACACGUGGGAACGUGCCUUUAGGUUCGGAAUAACUCAGGGAAACUUGUGCUAAUACCGAAUGUGCCCUUCGGGGGAAAGAUUUAUCGCCUUUAGAGCGGCCCGCGUCUGAUUAGCUAGUUGGUGAGGUAAAGGCUCACCAAGGCGACGAUCAGUAGCUGGUCUGAGAGGAUGAUCAGCCACAUUGGGACUGAGACACGGCCCAAACUCCUACGGGAGGCAGCAGUGGGGAAUCUUGCGCAAUGGGCGAAAGCCUGACGCAGCCAUGCCGCGUGAAUGAUGAAGGUCUUAGGAUUGUAAAAUUCUUUCACCGGGGACGAUAUUGACGGUACCCGGAGAAGAAGCCCCGGCUAACUUCGUG